AUUGAACGCUGGCGGCAUGCUUUACACAUGCAAGUCGAACGGUAACAGGCCGCAAGGUGCUGACGAGUGGCGAACGGGUGAGUAAUGCAUCGGAACGUGCCCAGUCGUGGGGGAUAACUGCUCGAAAGAGCAGCUAAUACCGCAUACGAUCUAUGGAUGAAAUCGGGGGACCGUAAGGCCUCGCGCGAUUGGAUCGGCCGAUGUCAGAUUAGGUAGUUGGUGGGGUAAAGGCUCACCAAGCCAACGAUCUGUAGCUGGUCUGAGAGGACGACCAGGCAGACUGGAACUGAGGCACGGCGCAGACGCCUAGGGGAGGCAGCAGUGGGGAAUUUUGGACAAUGGGGGCAACCCUGAUCCAGCAAUGCCGCGUGCAGGAAGAAGGCCUUCGGGUUGUAAACUGCUUUUGUACGGAACGAAACGGUCUGGGUUAAUACCCUGGGCUAAUGACGGUACCGUAAGAAUAAGCACCGGCUAACUACGUGCCAGCAGCCACGGUAAGAC
rnacentral:rRNA from 1 species